GGUAUAUGGGGGAAUGUUCUGGGGGUUUGGGAUGGAAAUGCUAUAAAAUUGGGUUGUGAUGAUCGUUGUACAACUAUAAAUGCAAUAAAGUUCAUUAAAAAAUAAAUUGAAAAGAGAGGAUAUAUGGAUGACCCAUGUGUACACACAAAGGUGCUCGACAUUAUUACUCAUCUAGUUUGGUGACUGGCAUAUUUUAAAUAUGUUUAAAUGACAGAUACGUCAACAUCGGAUAGAAUUUAUUUGCUUCUACAUAGAUGCACUGGAAUAUCUUUAGGAGAAUCUAUGCACUUGUUUUAACUGAGAAGAAUUUAUCUUUUUUUUUUUUUUUUUUUUACCCAAGCUGACUACUCAGGUCCGCCAUAGACUCAAAAUAGUGUCCAGUUGUGAAAUGAGCAGUAGAAAUGAACCAAACCUCUGGUGUCUUUUUCUUAGGAUGUAAAGCAGAGAGAGGUCUCUACUUUAUUUCCUCUCUGUUUAGAGCAUUCAGUCAAUAGUACCAGCUUCUUUGGCUCCAAGUGUGGGAUUCAGGAGGUGUCCUGAAUCAUCUGAAGUGGCAGCCCAGGGCUGUUCUGAACCAAGCUGAGAAAGUGGCACAAUGCUGUGUUGCAGGAAGUGAAAGAUGCCCCUUAGCCUCUGUGUCACUUGCUCAUGCUAGUGACACAGUCAGCAACUACAGAUACAGAGAAGACAGCCACACAGGCUUGGAAGCAGGCAUUGGCCUUUGGGACAAGGAACCCCAGUGGCCCUCACUCCCAGAGCAUGGCCUAAAAAGGUAUGUGUGUGUGUGUGUGUGUGUGUGUACAUGCAUGAGUAUAUACGUGCACACGUGCACAUGCAUGUGUGUACGUGUGUGUGCAUGUGUGCGUGCUGUGGUUGGGCACAUCACCAUGAGUAUGUUGGAGCAAGGAUUUUCUUUUCUCAAGC
rnacentral:lncRNA from 1 species